AGUAUAAAAGCAGAAUAUAGUAAUCUAACAAAACCACUAAUUAAUCAUCCCUAAUUAAUUGCCAUAAUAAAACCACGCAUACCACUAAUUAAUCAUCUCAUCCCGUGCCUAAUUAAUUGGCAUAAUUAAACCAGCAGCCACUAAUUAAUCCCCUAAUUAAUAAAUCCAGAUCCAGAUCCAGAUCCAGAUCCAGCAGCCACGCCACAUUUCAAACUCAUCUAACUAAACCACAAAUUAAUCCGUAAUUAACUGCAACUGGUGUUUACAUGUAAACUAUCUCAUUGUGAAAAUCUGAAUCAAGCUGGUCAGGGCUCACUUUAAGCAUUCCAUUGAAGCCGAAUCGUCGUCGCAGUUCUAUGGCACCAUCGACGUCUUGUCUAGUUCGCACGCGUAAUUCCAGAAAGCUUUCAAUUUCUAUUCCGAUCAUGAUGUACCUCCGCAACCACGCCGUUUCCAUUUCUGAACGGGGCGUAGAUCUAGGACGAUUUCGCCUUGCUAACCUAUGUUCCCUCCUAGCCUGGAUAAAUUCCCUCAGUAGGUCCAAAGUCGGAGAUCGAGGAGGAGCGGCGGCGGCGACUGCUGGUUGAACUUGAGGAGGGCCGGCGCCUGCUUGUCCUGCCAUUUUUGGGUGUGAAAAAAAGAGUUCUAGUGCAGGCCGAGUAUUGCGUUACUUAUGAAAAUGAUUCAAAUUGAAGGCUUGUUGCAAAUAGCCUGAAAUUCCGUAUAUCGAGUGGGGAUGAUAAAGAAGAGCUUAUUGUCAUUCGAGAUGAGAUCGCACAGUGAUAUGUGUUCAUUGAGAUAUUGGAAUGUCUCAUUGUCUUUGUUCCAAGUAAAGUUGUUAAUGUUGCCAUGUAAUCAACUUGCUCUCAUAAACAUUAAUUUCAGUAGUUAUUAAACGAAGACUAUUAUUUUUUCAGCUACGACUUAUUAAACUAAAAUUAUUAAUU